rnacentral:tRNA from 1 species
AUUUCUUAAUUUAUAUAGUUUAACAACAAAACAUUACUUUUUCAUUGUAAAAUUAAAUAACUUAUUUUAUAA